UUAAGAUCAAGCUUUGGAAAACCCUGACCUGGAUGAAGGAGAACCUACAUCACCUGGGACCUGGACUGCAGACCUCUAAAGGUGCGCUUUGGUAUCUGGAUCUGAAACAACAACAACAACAGCAGCAGCAGCAGCAGCAGAUCCUGAAAGACCUGGAAGCUGUGAGGUAGCACCUCCACAGAUCAGACUUUUGUUUCGGUCCAAAUCAACACCUUAAAAAAAUGUCGCGAUAAAAUCAUCAAAAUUAUCUUUUUUUUUUCAAGGCGGUCUCCUCUCUGGAGAAGUUUCUGUCACAUGACUGCUGACUGGAUUGAACAACACUCUGGACAUCACUAGGAAUGCGAGACGGCGUCCAUCAGUGCAGCGUAAACGUCUCGCCAACCUUAAAUAUCUGGUAGUUUUUUCUUAUUGACCUUCAGAGAGAAAACCGAUGACAAUAGUUUCAAAUAUCAGCUGAGAAGAUGUCAGUGUUUAGAUCUGUGUAUUUACUGCCAGGCUGCUUGGAUUUCUCAUAAAGGGUUAGUUCCACAUUUUUGUUUGCAAAAACGAGAGGAUGGACGGCGUCGUUACGUGAACAGCGAGUUAGCUUAGCCGAGUUAAAAGUUUAGCAAACUCUUCAUCUCACAGACUAACAAACUCAAUGUUGUGUUUCCUCCACUAAACCUCUAAAACAACAUCUAAUACAAACCAAACCAUGGAGCAGACACGAACAUGAGGACCAGGACUGGUCUGCGUCCAACAGGUUCAGAAAGUCAUUAGUCUGUUAUUAGUUCUGUAGAAAUUCAGGAUUUCUGAGAAUGUUUUUCAUGUGCUCCGCCAACGUGGGUGUUCGCCCAGAUCAUGAGGUGUUCUUGCUAAAGGGCCUGAAACAGGGCGAACUGUUUCAACAACACAGUCGGUGGAAAAAUCCAGAAACAUUGAGCCGAUGAAGUCAAGCGUGCAGAGCAGUUAGGAG